rnacentral:rRNA from 1 species
UACGGAGGGUGCGAGCGUUGUCCGGAAUCACUGGGCGUAAAGGGCGCGUAGGCGGCCUGGCAAGUCGAUGGUGAAAGCCCGAGGCUCAACUUCGGGUCGGCCACUGAUACUGCGGGGCUAGAGUGCAGAAGGGGCAACUGGAAUUCUCGGUGUAGCGGUGAAAUGCGUAGAUAUCUGGAGGAACACCGGUGGCGAAGGCGGCAUCCUGGACCGAUACUGACGCUGAUGAGCGAAAGCCAGGGGAGCAAACGGG